GAUGAACGCUGGCGGCGUGCCUAAUACAUGCAAGUCGAGCGAACAGAUAAGGAGCUUGCUCCUUUGACGUUAGCGGCGGACGGGUGAGUAACACGUGGGUAACCUACCUAUAAGACUGGGAUAACUUCGGGAAACCGGAGCUAAUACCGGAUAACAUUUGGAACCGCAUGGUUCUAAAGUGAAAGAUGGUCUUGCUAUCACUUAUAGAUGGACCCGCGCCGUAUUAGCUAGUUGGUAAGGUAACGGCUUACCAAGGCGACGAUACGUAGCCGACCUGAGAGGGUGAUCGGCCACACUGGAACUGAGACACGGUCCAGACUCCUACGGGAGGCAGCAGUAGGGAAUCUUCCGCAAUGGGCGAAAGCCUGACGGAGCAACGCCGCGUGAGUGAUGAAGGGUUUCGGCUCGUAAAACUCUGUUAUUAGGGAAGAACAAAUGUGUAAGUAACUGUGCACGUCCUGACGGUACCUAAUCAGAAAGCCACGGCUAACUACGUG
rnacentral:rRNA from 1 species